AUUGAACGCUGGCGGCAUGCCUUACACAUGCAAGUCGAACGGUAACGCGGGGCAACCUGGCGACGAGUGGCGAACGGGUGAGUAAAGUAUCGGAACGUGUCCAAUAGUGGGGGAUAGCCCGGCGAAAGCCGGAUUAAUACCGCAUGAGACCUGAGGGUGAAAGCGGGGGACUCGCAAGAGCCUCGCGCUGUUGGAGCGGCCGAUAUCAGAUUAGGUAGUUGGUGGGGUAAAGGCCUACCAAGCCGACGAUCUGUAGCUGGUCUGAGAGGACGACCAGCCACACUGGGACUGAGACACGGCCCAGACUCCUACGGGAGGCAGCAGUGGGGAAUUUUGGACAAUGGGCGCAAGCCUGAUCCAGCCAUGCCGCGUGCGGGAAGAAGGCCUCGGUUGUAACCGCUUUGUCUAGGGAAGAAAGUACCUUUGUAGCUAAUACCUCGGAGGGAGUGACGGUACCGUGAAGAAUAAGACACCGGCUAACUACGUGCCAGCAGCCGCGGUAA
rnacentral:rRNA from 1 species